rnacentral:snRNA from 1 species
GCGCAAACUCUGGAAACACAUAUACUAAAACUGAAAUGACAUGAAAAGAUUAUCAUGACCUUUGCAAAAGUAUGACAUGCAAAUUUGUGAAGCAGUAUAUUUUU